UAAAGGCUGUUACAACUAAAUAACUCUCUAGGGUUAAAUGUUCGAUCUGUUCCCACUUCCCCAGCCACAUUUCUUCCUCACUCCUCUUCUCUUUCUCUCUCCUCAAACCACUCUCUCUUUCCGCAUUUCUCUUCUUCCUCACUCAUCUGCUCUUUCUCUCUCCUCAAAUCACUCACUCUCUCUACUCAAACCAGAAAAAUGUCAAUAGCUAAAACUCACGAGUGAUUUGCUCAAGAAUAUUAGGGAGAUCGAGGCCAAUGAGACAUUAUCUGAGCCUGAAAAGGCGAAGAAGUGUCAGCAGCUUCUGGGUGGGAUUAGAUCCGGAGCAAGCAUCGAUUGCCCAUAACCACCGUCGCCGCCGUCGUCAAUUUGAACCAAAUACAAUAACAACAACAAACUUGAAUCAAUUAUUGAUUCAAAAAUCAGAAAUUUGAUGAUAGGGUUUCUGGGUUCUUUAGCUUUGCGUUUUGGUCCAAUUAUUCAGGUUAAAUGCAUUCAUUUUUUGGGUUUAAUUUAUGUAAUAUUGUUUGAAAAAUUACUCCAUUUUAACUCACAAUCCACUCUUCAAAUCCUAUUAUUUUAGGGUUAGGGUUUUUCUAAAUGGACCCAAUUGCUUUGGUUGUCGAUAAUUUAAAAUCAUUUGCAAAAUCUGGCCAAGAUCUUAUCACCGGCAUCACUCGCCGCCGGCAGAAUUAGUCCCGUCAAAAUCCAGUACAUUUAUUUGUUUCUUACUUCUAUUUUAAUUUCUGUAUAUUAUCAUUUUGUUUGGCCUUGUUAAUUCUCAAAUUUGAUGCUGCAAUGUUGUAAAAUGAUGAAUUUGAUCUUGUUUUCAGCUUAUUAUAUGCUAAUUUACAUUUUUUUUUUGUAAUUAUUGAUUUGAUAGUGUCAAAUUUGAUCUUAAUUGCUUGACUUGCUUUAGUUUAUGCCAAUUUUACUCAGAAAUUAUCAUUUUAGCCAGUACAAUUUGAUCUUUAUUUGAAGUUUUAUGGAAUAUAUGUUUGUUUUUUUUUUUGUUUUUCUUUUGAAAUUUGAUUAACUGAUUUUAAUAAGUAUAAAGUUCACUAUGAUGUACAUAUGUUCUUUACAGAGUAUGUGUUCCCUUGGAGGCUAACUCCCUUUUUAUUUGUAUUGCCAUUUGGAUUUUUUGAACAAUUGAACCCCAUAUAUGCACUUGAGUGCUGUUCCACAUUGGGAAAAAGAGCAAAGUACCUUUUUCCACUUCUAGGAAGUCACUUUAUCUAUUUCCAAUUGGCUUUAAGGCGAAGCCUCACUUAGUCUUAUCCCAGAUUGUUGCAAAUUGUGAUUACAUAUUUCAUCUUGUUGCUAUCAGAUAAUACUCAAUCGAUUUCUUUAUGUGACACUAGUUAUGUUUUAGUUGCAUUUGUAUGUGUUGCCAUUCACUGGCCCCUGAGGAGAUCAUGGAUUUGACACUAAAAUGAGUGUUUUUCCAGACAGAUGAUUUUGAUGUUGAUGUGCAUUUUCUUCUCCAGUCUUUUGAAAAUUUCUUUGCUUGUCUACCUUUUUUUAGGUACAAAGACGUCUUGCAAAAAAUUGUUAGGCUGCUCGCAAAAUUCGUAUGCGGAAAAGGUCUAUACUCAGCAAUUAGAGUUGAGCCAUUCAAAAUUGAUGCAAAUGGAGCAAGAACUUGAACGAGUGAGAUAACAGGGUACGCUUGUGAGCAAUGGUAUUGAUCCGCUUCCUUUCUCUGCCACUGUAAAUUAAGAUCUGCUAUUACUGGUCCCAUUGGAAAGGAGUGUGCCGAUUUGUGGCUAAGGAUUGCUAGUGCAGCCAAUGCCAUUGUCUAAGAGAUGUCGUUCAGAGUUUCCAAUUUUGUUUUGCUAUAAAUUCUGAAUGUUUAUAGUUGGAUAAAUGAACAAUGCCGGUUUGGUAGAAUGUGUUAAGUCAAUUUGUGAGUUUGCAAGAUAUUAGUUGAUUGUAUAUUAAUUUAUACUAUAUUUGUAUAAAAUAUAAAUAUCUCU